rnacentral:rRNA from 1 species
UACGGGGGGGGUAAGCGUUGUUCGGAAUUACUGGGCGUAAAGGGCUCGUAGGCGGCCAACUAAGUCAUACGUGAAAUCCCUCAGCUUAACUGGGGAACUGCGUGUGAUACUGGAUGGCUUGGAUUUGGGAGAGGGAUGCGGAAUUCCAGGUGUAGCGGUGAAAUGCGUAGAUAUCUGGAGGAACACCGGUGGCGAAGGCGGCAUUCUGGACCGAUAUUGACGCUGAGGAGCGAAAGCCAGGGGAGCAAACGGG